ACUCGCCCGGUGUCAGUUGACGCCGGGCAGAGGACGGCGCUAAACCGCGGCGCCUACGUCCCCUGUGUGAGUCCACACACACACGGUUAGCACGCAGCUAAAUGCAAUGUAAUGUAAUGUAAUGUAAAAGCUACGGAGCACAGCAGUCAGUCGCCAGCUGAUUGUAACGAGAGACCACGGCCGCACCGUUAACGUAAAGACAACACAUGGAGCGCCUGGUUUCAUCCGCCGGGAACGCACAAACGGACACUGCAGAGCAGGGACACUUCACCGGACCAGAACUCAUGCCUGGAAAGGGAUCGGGCCGCAACAGACGCGUGCCUACCUGUCCUCAGGCGUCUCUUGUUAGCACGCCGCAAACCCGAGAGUGUAAACAACCCAGCGCAUGGAGCACAGGAGUGUGCCAGCUGAUUGUAAGACGACAAGGUAGACACGGAGCCGGCGGACCCAAACGGCAAAUCAACGCAACUGUUCUUUAUGGACCGUCCAUCCAGCUCCUCUUCCUCAUCAAGUGAUUCUUCCGCUUCAGACAAGAAAUCGAAGAAAAGACGCAAAAAGAAAAAGAAGCACCACCACCAGAAUCACAAGAAAAAGGACAAGAUGAAGAAAAAAGGCAACAUGGCAAGCAGAGAGCACGGCAUCCUGAGGAGGUCAUCAAGAGAUACAGGAAAGUCCUUAAGGCGUACAAGAAAGGAAGAAAGCUGAGUGUGGCAUAGCGAAAGGUCGGUGUCGACCAAAACACCAUCGUUGCCACUGCCCCAAUCUGUGAGCUGGCUGUUGUGGCCCCGAAGAAAUACAAGGAGUUGCUGGUUACUCAUACCCCACAGCAACGACUGCAGGACUUUGCAAAUGUCUGGAAGUGUUAAAUAAUGAUCCAAACCUUUUGAGGGAUGUUGAACAUCAAAAGAAAAAGGGGAAACUGAUUCCUCUGUAUAAGAAAGCUUAGGUGUUGUGUCACUGUGGGAUGGUGCCCUAGAGCAGUUUGGGUUGUAGCUCGGGUCUGAUUCACUAAGUAUAGAGGGUCCAAGUUGUGCUAAGACAUGUUCAAAUCAAUAAUGCCAAUGGCUUGAUUUUGAUUUAUUUAGUUUUCA